AAAGUUGGCCAGACAGUCGUCGCGUGUUUACACGGGGAGGAAAGUCCGGGCUCCAUAGAGCAAAAUGCCAGCUAACGGCUGGGUGUCGAAAGGCAACGGAAAGUGGUGCAGAGACUUAGACCGCCGAUGGCUGCUUCGGCAGCACAGGUAAGGGUGAGAAGGUGCGGUAAGAGCGCACCGCGCAACGGGUAACCGAAGCGGCAAGCUAAACCCCAUUUGGAGCAAGACCAAACAGAAGGCCAUGAUGCGGCUCGUAUCGUCUUCGGGUAGGUUGCUUGAGCGUGCUGGUAACGGUACGCCUAGAUGAAUGACUGUCCUAGACAGAACCCGGCUUAUCGACCGACUUUUACG
rnacentral:RNase_P_RNA from 1 species